UUACGGCCAUAUUGCGUUGAAAUAGCGGGUCUUGCACCAUCACCGAAGUUAAGCAACGUCGAGCUUGGUCAGUACCUAGAUGGGUUACCAUUUGGCAAUACCAGGUGCUGUAAG